rnacentral:lncRNA from 1 species
GGUGACCACAGGUGGAGCUGAUUGAUAGACUUCAGCUUCACUAUGACAGACGCAGUCAUAGGCUAGGAUGAGAGCGAUCUGAGGGUGGAGAUGGUGCAUAGCAUCUACAAGCUCGAGGUUUAGGUGAUGAGGACUUCGAGAAGCUUGGUUAGAGCUUCGGAUAUCUGGGGGACAAGGUAGAGUGAGAAACCAAGAAAGGGCUGAAGACUGUGGUGGAAAGUAGAUUUCAUAGCACUAGAUCGACUCAGUGCCAAACUGGAUCGAUCAAGUCUGAGAGAGACAAAAAAUAGACUCUUGAAAAAACUAACAUGAUAUGCAAGUUAGCCAGCUCAGUUCCAAACUAAGUCGACUAAGUGUCAGGUUAGUCGACUCAGUCUGAGACUAAGCCGA